rnacentral:rRNA from 1 species
AGAGUUUGAUCCUGGCUCAGGACGAACGCUGGCGGCGUGCUUAACACAUGCAAGUCGAGCGGAAAGGCCCUUCGGGGUACUCGAGCGGCGAACGGGUGAGUAACACGUGAGUAACCUGCCCUAGGCUUUGGGAUAACCCUCGGAAACGGGGGCUAAUACCGAAUAUGACAUGCUGCCGCAUGGUGGUGUGUGGAAAGUUUUUCGGCCUGGGAUGGACUCGCGGCCUAUCAGCUUGUUGGUGGGGUGAUGGCCUACCAAGGCGACGACGGGUAGCCGGCCUGAGAGGGCGACCGGCCACACUGGGACUGAGACACGGCCCAGACUCCUACGGGAGGCAGCAGUGGGGAAUAUUGCACAAUGGGCGGAAGCCUGAUGCAGCGACGCCGCGUGAGGGAUGAAGGCCUUCGGGUUGUAAACCUCUUUCAGCAGGGACGAAGCGCAAGUGACGGUACCUGCAGAAGAAGCGCCGGCCAACUACGUGCCAGCAGCCGCGGUAAGACGUAGGGCGCAAGCGUUGUCCGGAUUUAUUGGGCGUAAAGAGCUCGUAGGCGGCUUGUUGCGUCGGCUGUGAAAACCCGCGGCUUAACCGCGGGCUUGCAGCCGAUACGGGCGGGCUGGAGUUCGGUAGGGGAGACUGGAAUUCCUGGUGUAGCGGUGAAAUGCGCAGAUAUCAGGAGGAACACCGGUGGCGAAGGCGGGUCUCUGGGCCGAUACUGACGCUGAGGAGCGAAAGCGUGGGGAGCGAACAGGAUUAGAUACCCUGGUAGUCCACGCUGUANACGUUGGGCGCUAGGUGUGGGGAGCCUCUCCGGUUCUCUGUGCCGCAGCUAACGCAUUAAGCGCCCCGCCUGGGGAGUNCGCCGCAAGGCUAAAACUCAAAGGAAU